UGUGGCUUGAGCGCGAAGGRUUGACAUGSSKGAMSCUCGAUGCAUKMAYGCCGYGUGUGUGAAGCAAGGCCUYCGGGUUGUUAAAGCACUUUCAGUUGUGAGGAAAAGUUAGUAGUUAAUACCUGCUAGCCGUGACGUUAACAACAGAAGAAGCACCGGCUAACUCCGUGCCAGCAGCCGCGGUAAUACGGAGGGUGCGAGCGUUAAUCGGAAUUACUGGGCGUAAAGCGCACGCAGGCGGUUUGUUAAGCUAGAUGUGAAAGCCCCGGGCUCAACCUGGGAUGGUCAUUUAGAACUGGCAGACUAGAGUCUUGGAGAGGGGAGUGGAAUUCCAGGUGUAGCGGUGAAAUGCGUAGAUAUCUGGAGGAACAUCAGUGGCGAAGGCGACUCCCUGGCCAAAGACUGACGCUCAUGUGCGAAAGUGUGGGUAGCGAACAGGAUUAGAUACCCUGGUAGUCCACACCGUAAACGCUGUCUACUAGCUGUGUGUGCCUUUAAGGCGUGCGUAGCGAAAGCUAACGCGCUAAGGUAGACCCGCCCUUGGGGAAKUMCAGGCCCGCARGKUUAAAMYUCAAWUAGAWUUNGACGGGGGCCCGCACAAGCGUGUUGAGACGCAUGUGGUUWACAUCUCGAUGCAACGCAGAAGAACCUUACCUACWCUUGACAGUGCUGAGAACGUYACUAGAGAUAGUUYSGUGCCUUCGGSRACUCAGACACAGGUSCUGCAUGCUGYCSCGGGGGGG
rnacentral:rRNA from 1 species